rnacentral:rRNA from 1 species
GAGUUUGAUCCUGGUUCAGGAUGAACGCUGGCGGCGUGCCUAACACAUGCAAGUCGAGCGAACCCUUCGGGGUGAGCGGCGGACGGGUGAGUAACGCGUGGGUAACCUGCCCUGUACACACGGAUAACAUACCGAAAGGUAUGCUAAUACGAGAUAACAUAUUUUAAUCGCAUGGUUAAGAUAUCAAAGCUCCGGCGGUACAGGAUGGACCCGCGUCUGAUUAGCUAGUUGGUGAGGUAAUGGCUCACCAAGGCGACGAUCAGUAGCCGACCUGAGAGGGUGAUCGGCCACACUGGAACUGAGACACGGUCCAGACUCCUACGGGAGGCAGCAGUGGGGAAUAUUGCACAAUGGGCGAAAGCCUGAUGCAGCAACGCCGCGUGAGCGAUGAAGGCCUUCGGGUCGUAAAGCUCUGUCCUCAAGGAAGAUAAUGACGGUACUUGAGGAGGAAGCCCCGGCUAACUGCGUGCCAGCAGCCGCGGUAAUACGUAGGGGGCUAGCGUUAUCCGGAAUUACUGGGCGUAAAGGGUGCGUAGGCGGUCUUUCAAGCCAGAAGUGAAAGGCUACGGCUCAACCGUAGUAAGCUUUUGGAACUGUAAGACUUGAGUGCAGGAGAGGAGAGUGGAA